rnacentral:misc_RNA from 1 species
AUAGAUAGCUAGAUAGAGAGAAUAGGGACUGAUCAAACAAAAUGGUUGUCUUCCGAGAACGCCAAGUAAGGAGAGAGUGGCGGCGGCGACGAUGACGAGGUUGUCGGCGACGGCAAUGACGAAAGUCACGCUGAAUCUCGUCAGUUCUCGCCUCGAUCUUGACGUCACUUGUUGCUAACAAAACAACAAGGGGUUGGUCGGAGAUAUCAACCUUCAUUGUCGAAAAUACAGAAAGAAGAAGAAACAUGAUCAGUUGGAUUAACAGACAUGAAUAACGUUACUAAGGCAGGGUCCAUGGACGACGAGGACCUUAAUGAUUCGGUCGACUUUGAUUUUUACGAAUCCAACGACCAGGAAUCUAUGAACACCGUUUUCAACAAAGUAUACAGCAAGCCGCCUCCUGGCAGACAUCGACAUUUUCACACUUGCUCGCAAGAAAAAGUUUGUUAUGAUAGCUUUUGUAGCUCUUCUGCGGCAGGCGGGGAGCCAUAUCAAUAUGUCAACGGUUGUUUGAAUGAUAGCGACAUAGAUAACAUGAAAGGUGCUGUGGAUUUGAUAGAAGACAAAAACGAACGGAUACCUAUAGCAACAACUACUAUUACUACUACAACAACACCAACCAUCGAAGACUGUACGCUGCUAGCAGAUGAAAACGAUACCCAGUCUAGCCUUGAUGUUUCCAUUUCCGACGACACGGAAAGUAACCUAAGUGAUCUCCCAGAUUUCUCUGAUGAGGAAAACGGUAAAGAGUCUUCAUCGUUCGCCAACCAGCCCCAUGGUUCGAAACCAGCUGGUGACACCGGAUCGAAUCCCAACAAACAGUGUGCGAUAAAAACCGAAGACCAAAGAAACACAGUUCGUUUUAAGAACUCCGAACACACCGAUUCUGUUGUGGCCGAAUCUGGUCCUUCAGAUGCUGCAAAUUUUAUAGACACUGAUUUGAGUUCUAUAGACGGUGACGACGACGACGAUGAUGAUGAUGUUGUUGAAGAUGACGACGACGAUGAUGAUGAUGAUGAUGAUGAGGAUGAUGUUGAUGACGAUGAUGAUAGUUUAGCGAGUGUAGAAGAUAAUAGCGAAGAUGAAGAUGAGUGCAACGUGGAUUCUGCACCAACAGAUAAAUAUUUGAAAACAUUGGGAAAUGGAAAGGCCAGCCAACCGCAGGCGAUUCUGCGUAAGAACGUGGGUAUCACGCUAGCCGAGAGGUUUUCGCUCCAGCAGAAAACUCAUGCGAAACGAAACGGUUAUUCGCAGAGUUCGAAUCGAAGCGAUUUGAACUGCAACACUUUUGAAAGUGAUUGUUCGUCGGCCUCAGAAAUGACAGAUGUGUCUCCCCUGGCUUCUGGUGACAGUAGCCCUACAAUGGUUAGAAGGUGUAAAUCGGCACCGAAUCCGAGUCGUCAACCUUCUUCUCCCCCUUUCUGUGAGCAAAACGGACUCUGUACGGCUACCGAUCAGGACAACAGCAAUAUGGACAUGAAUUUGAUUAUGCGAGCUGUUCAAGAGAUUGGUAAGGAAGAAUAUAGUACUAGAGAUUCGUCCCCGAUUCGGAAAAAAAAUCAGCGAACUAGUUUGUCAUAUAAUACAUAUCAGACUCGUGAAAUCGAGAGAGAAAACGAGAGACUUCUGUCUGAGAUCUUAAAGCUAUCUUCGAACAAAAGCUAUAAGAAUGCCAAGAAACUGCCUAUAAAAACGAAAGUAGCCCAUUCUGCUAUCAACAGACAGCGUGAACAACGUCGGAUUGAGAGGGAAAACGAGACAUUGAUUAGCCAACCUGGGGCUAUAAAAGAAAAUGCUUGUCCAAAGCACCAUGCAUUGUGAUUGAACUUGAAACAUCCUGGUUGCAAAUCAAACAGAUAAAACAACAAACCUAUGCUUGAAAGCAUUCCCAGGCUUUUCUAAGACGGCUAGAGACUGUUAAACCCAGCAAAGGUUUGUCAAGAGAUGAACAGUUGGCAGAAUACAGUUCAAAAC